rnacentral:rRNA from 1 species
UGCCCCAGUAACGGCGAGUGAAGCGGCAACAGCUCAAAUUUGAAAUCUGGCCCCCAGGGCCCGAGUUGUAAUUUGCAGAGGAUGCUUUUGGUGAGGCGCCUACCGAGUCCCCUGGAAUGGGGCGCCGUAGAGGGUGAGAGCCCCGUAUGGUGGGACGCCGAACCUCUGUAAAGCUCCUUCGACGAGUCGAGUAGUUUGGGAAUGCUGCUCUAAAUGGGAGGUAAAUUUCUUCUAAAGCUAAAUACUGGCCAGAGACCGAUAGCGCACAAGUAGAGUGAUCGAAAGAUGAAAAGCACUUUGAAAAGAGGGUUAAAAAGUACGUGAAAUUGUUGAAAGGGAAGCGCUUGUGACCAGACUUGCGCCGGGCAGAUCAUCCAGCGUUCUCGCUGGUGCACUCCGCCCGGCUCAGGCCAGCAUCGGUUUUCGCCGGGGGACAAAGGCUUCGGGAACGUGGCUCCCUUUGGGGAGUGUUAUAGCCCGUAGCGUAAUACCCCGGCGGGGACCGACGACCGCGCUUCGGCAAGGAUGCUGGCGUAAUGGUCAUCAGCGACCCGUCUUGAAACACGGACCGAGGAGUCAAGCAUUAGUGCGAGUGUUUGGGUGUAAAACCCGCACGCGUAAUGAAAGUGAACGUAGGUGAGAGCUUCGGCGCAUCAUCGACCGAUCCUGAUGUUUUCGGAAGGAUUUGAGUAGGAGCAUUAACGCUUGGACCCGAAAGAUGGUGAACUAUACUUGAAUAGGGUGAAGCCAGAGGAAACUCUGGUGGAGGCUCGCAGCGGUUCUGACGUGCAAAUCGAUCGUCAAAUUUGAGUAUAGGGCGAAAG